UGAUACUAAGCCAUGCGAGUCAUUGCAGUAAUGCAAGGCAGACGGCUCAGUAACGCGUAGUCAACCUACCCUAUGGACGGGAAUAACCUCGGGAAACUGAGUAUAAUGCCCGAUAGAACACUAUUCCUGGAAUGGUUUGUGUUCCAAAUGAUUUAUCGCCGUAGGAUGGGACUGCGGCCUAUCAGUUUGUUGGUGAGGUAAUGGCCCACCAAGACUAUUACAGGUACGGGCUCUGAGAGGAGUAGCCCGGAGAUGGGUACUGAGACACGGACCCAGGCCCUAUGGGGCGCAGCAGGCGAGAAAACUUUGCAAUGUGCGAAAGCACGACAAGGUUAAUCCGAGUGGUUUGUGCUAAACGAACCUUUUGACAGUCCUAGAAACACUGUUGAAUAAGGGGUGGGCAAGUCCUGGUGUCAGCCGCCGCGGUAAAACCAGCACCUCAAGUGGUCAGGAUGAUUAUUGGGCCUAAAGCAUCCGUAGCCGGCUCUGUAAGUUUUCGGUUAAAUCUGUACGCUCAACGUACAGGCUGCCGGGAAUACUGCAGAGCUAGGGAGUGGGAGAGGUAGACGGUACUCGGUAGGAAGGGGUAAAAUCCUUUGAUCUAUUGAUGACCACCUGUGGCGAAGGCGGUCUACCAGAACACGUCCGACGGUGAGGGAUGAAAGCUGGGGGAGCAAACCGGAUUAGAUACCCGGGUAGUCCCAGCUGUAAACUAUGCAAACUCAGUGAUGCAUUGGCUUGUGGCCAAUGCAGUGCUGCAGGGAAGCCGUUAAGUUUGCCGCCUGGGAAGUACGUACGCAAGUAUGAAACUUAAAGGAAUUGGCGGGGGAGCACCACAAGGGGUGAAGCCUGCGGUUCAAUUGG
rnacentral:rRNA from 1 species